UCUAAUAUGGCAGAUUAGUGCACUGGAAUUAAACCCCAAAUAUAAAACGAUAAGCUUUUUUUUAGAA
rnacentral:tRNA from 1 species